rnacentral:lncRNA from 1 species
UUUAAGGGAGUUCGCUUCUCAGUUUCAAAGUAAUUAACUUUUCAAAGCACUAGUUUAUAUUGAUAGGGGAUUGAUAAAGGAAUCCAAAGAGCAAAAACAAAUAUAUAGGUCACCGUGCUUGUUUUCGAGAUAUGAGCCAUUGAAAUUUUGGCGGGAAAAAAUUCUCUCUUGACUUUUCAUAGCUUUAUCAUUGACAAGUUGAAGUUCUCAAAAACUGUUAAAAAGUAAUUAAAAUUUUAUAAGACUUUUACAGAUGGCUUAUCAUUAUACAUGUAAAAGAUUUUCAAAAACAAAAAUGGGGGUCACCGGGCAAAUUUUUUCAAGGCAUUCAAAUGGAUAAAACCAGAGGAUUCCGAAAAUCUGACAAAAAAUCCAAAAAAUGACAAGCCAGCUUCCUUAAAGAA